AUUGAACGCUGGCGGAAUGCUCUACACAUGCAAGUCGAGCGGCAGCACGGGGGCAACCCUGGUGGCGAGCGGCGAACGGGUGAGUAAUACAUCGGAACAUGCCCAGUCGUGGGGGAUAACACUUCGAAAGAAGUGCUAAUACCGCAUACGUCCUGAGGGAGAAAGCGGGGGAUCUUCGGACCUCGCGCGAUUGGAGUGGCCGAUGUCAGAUUAGCUAGUUGGUGGGGUAAAGGCCUACCAAGGCAACGAUCUGUAGCUGGUCUGAGAGGAUGAUCAGCCACACUGGGACUGAGACACGGCCCAGACUCCUACGGGAGGCAGCAGUGGGGAAUUUUGGACAAUGGGGGCAACCCUGAUCCAGCCAUUCCGCGUGAGUGAAGAAGGCCUUCGGGUUGUAAAGCUCUUUCGGCUGAAAAGAAAUCGCACAGGCUAAUACCUUGUGUGGAUGACGGUAUCAGCAUAAGAAGCACCGGCUAACUACGUGCCAGCCGCCGCGGUAACAC
rnacentral:rRNA from 1 species